rnacentral:rRNA from 1 species
UACGUAGGGGGCAAGCGUUGUCCGGAAUCAUUGGGCGUAAAGCGCGUGUAGGCGGCUCGAUAAGUCUGCUGUGAAAGUCCAAGGCUCAACCUUGGGAUGCCGGUGGAUACUGUCGAGCUCGAGUCCGGAAGAGGAGUGUGGAAUUCCUGGUGUAGCGGUGAAAUGCGCAGAUAUCAGGAGGAACACCAAUGGCGAAGGCAGCACUCUGGGCCGAUACUGACGCUGAGGAGCGAAAGCGUGGGGAGCGAACAGG